rnacentral:misc_RNA from 1 species
GGUUGAGGGACAAAGAUGCUGGUUGCAAUGAUACUAAUUCAAUAGACAUAAAAAUGAGUGUCGAAAAAGUUAUUGGUGGCAAAGCAAAGGGCUUAAUCAUGUCCAAGAAGCUCUUUUCAAAGCUGUGGUCCAACAAAGAUAGACUAAGCGAGAACAGCAGCUCUGAUACAUCAGAAAGCCCCGGUUCUUCCAAUGCUGGGGAAUCGAAGUCCACCCCAUCAAGAAGUAGGAGGCAUUCCCUGUCCUAAUGUUAGUUGCAGAUUAACCAAUUUCUCUUAGAGAAAAAGUUUCACCCCUUGUUUGAUGCUAGGAUUGGAAGAAGCUACGUCUGCCGCUAACCCUUGGAAGUAGUAGGGAGAAUUCCUCCUAUAAUUUUUGAGCAUUUUGAAGCAUGUAUUUGCAAGGUUAGAUCAGCUUGGGACUGAAUUGGAUCCUCUUAAGCUUUAUUAGUUUUUUCUGUUGUAUUCAAUUGUUUCCCAAGAGAAAUACAAGCGACCAUCUUUGUUUUAGGCUCUCUUUUAACAAGAC